CUUAAAACAUUGUUUUGUGUUUUAAGACUGGGGAAAAUUUAGUUUUGUGUUCUUUGUGGAAUCUUCCUGCAGAUUUGCUGGUGCAAUUUAUGUGCUUGUUUUUCUGUAGGUUGUAACUGUUGUGUUGAUUUCUUAGCCUUCUGUGAAGGCGUGUAAGCUGGGUGUUGUUUGUUUGAUUGUGUUUGCUUUCAAUGAAAUUACUCAUUCAUCCAAAAAAAAAUGUGAUGAACUAUAUUGGUGCUCAGAUAUUAUGAUACGAAGGGUUGCCUUUGGAGGUUGAUCUCCUAUAUGGUAUAACAGAAUAUAUAUAGUAUGGUCCACCAGUGCCUGAAGUAGGUGAAUUUUACUAGGAUUUGAAUAUGGUAGGUAAAAAAUUUCAGCUAUUCUGGCUUCUAUUAAAAUUUUAUCUCCUCGAUUGAUUUAAAUAUUUUUGAACUGCAAUGCUGAUAUUCCAUUAGAUGUCAUUGAUAUUAUUCUCCAUUUCCAUAUCUAAGGCAUUCCUUUACUAGGAUUUAAGUGUAUUAGGUAAAAGGUUUCCUCAUGCUUUUUACUCAAUUUUUGUUCAUUUUGUAUCUAUUGUAAAUGAUAUGUACACCCAACAACUUACAGUGUGGAAAAAAAUGAUAAAAUUCUCCAAACACCUGGUGUGCUUGUUUCAUUUUAUGGUAUCGGAGCAUCUAAGACUCACGUCACCUGUCCGAAAUGACAAGUCUCCGCACAUCAUCUUCUUCCUCUUCCACCCACACCACAUAAGCACGAAACUUAGUUCGUUCAUCCCUCACCAACCUCUUCAAUUUGCAAGACCUUGUCACAAUUAAGUUAACCUAUGAAAAUUACCUCCUUGGGCAGCAUGUCUUUGAAUACAUUGAUGGCACUGCCCCAUGUCCUCUACAAACCAUUGUUAAUCCAACACUGGCGAACGGCGAGCCUAGCAUAAUGAUGAAUCUAGCAUUUGUGUAGUCGAGCCAAGAAGAUCAAAUGAUCCUUAACACCCUUGAAUAACUACAAAUCAGGUUUCAACCCCAAGUCAACUACACAAUAUCAAUAAUUAUCACAAGAUAAAAUUAUUGAAAAGUAAAACAUUCAAACAUCACAAACACAAAAGCAAUGCAAGGUUUUUGAUUAUGAAGUAGAAACCCUUUGAGCACCUCAAAGGUAAAAUCAUUUUGGGGCAGUCAAACUUAGGAUAUCGCUAUAUUGAAGAAGAUUAAAAUACAAGCAUACUAGGAGAUCGCUAUAUCUGAUGAAAAUACAAGUAAGCUUGCAACCCAUCUAAAUACUUGUACCAACUGUAUGAACAACAAGCUCCCUGCUUGCCUUUGCUUUAGCUCUUCGCUAGCCAAUUUUCUUUGAGUACCUCUCCUUACUGACCCAACAAUAGACUUUUUGCAAUAAAAUGAUGCGUAUGGUGCGGUUUGAAAAAGAAUCAAACUACAAGAGAGAGAGAGCUCUAAACUUUGUUCAAAUCCUCUCUUGGAACAUAGAUGAUUAAAGCAAGAUCACUUCUAGAAGGGUUCUCUAUUGAGUGUUCUUAAUAUUCUUCCUUACCUCGAAAAUGGGCAUACUUAAGAAUAUAUAGGGUCAUGCAAAAAACCUCAAAAAUGCCUUCAAAAAAGAACAGAUCACGUUAGGACUUGAGGAUGUCCCCUUUUACGUCAGGACGUAAGCCAGGGUUUUAUUGUUAACUUCUCUAACACAGUAGACAACGUCAGCAUUUGCAGGUGACAUCUAAGUGACGAAGGUUUUUCUGUCUUCAAUUUCGUCACCACUUGUAGGUGACUUCCAGCACUCGUAUGUGACGUCCAGUUGUUGUUGGCACACA